AAAUUGAAGAGUUUGAUCAUGGCUCAGAUUGAACGCUGGCGGCAGGCCUAACACAUGCAAGUCGAGCGGUAGCACAGAGAGCUUGCUCUCGGGUGACGAGCGGCGGACGGGUGAGUAAUGUCUGGGAAACUGCCUGAUGGAGGGGGAUAACUACUGGAAACGGUAGCUAAUACCGCAUAACGUCGCAAGACCAAAGUGGGGGACCUUCGGGCCUCAUGCCAUCAGAUGUGCCCAGAUGGGAUUAGCUUGUAGGUGGGGUAACGGCUCACCUAGGCGACGAUCCCUAGCUGGUCUGAGAGGAUGACCAGCCACACUGGAACUGAGACACGGUCCAGACUCCUACGGGAGGCAGCAGUGGGGAAUAUUGCACAAUGGGCGCAAGCCUGAUGCAGCCAUGCCGCGUGUGUGAAGAAGGCCUUCGGGUUGUAAAGCACUUUCAGCGGGGAGGAAGGCGGUGAGGUUAAUAACCUCAUCGAUUGACGUUACCCGCAGAAGAAGCACCGGCUAACUCCGUGCCAGCAGCCGCGGUAAUACGGAGGGUGCAAGCGUUAAUCGGAAUUACUGGGCGUAAAGCGCACGCAGGCGGUCUGUCAAGUCGGAUGUGAAAUCCCCGGGCUCAACCUGGGAACUGCAUUCGAAACUGGCAGGCUAGAGUCUUGUAGAGGGGGGUAGAAUUCCAGGUGUAGCGGUGAAAUGCGUAGAGAUCUGGAGGAAUACCGGUGGCGAAGGCGGCCCCCUGGACAAAGACUGACGCUCAGGUGCGAAAGCGUGGGGAGCAAACAGGAUUAGAUACCCUGGUAGUCCACGCCGUAAACGAUGUCGAUUUGGAGGUUGUGCCCUUGAGGCGUGGCUUCCGGAGCUAACGCGUUAAAUCGACCGCCUGGGGAGUACGGCCGCAAGGUUAAAACUCAAAUGAAUUGACGGGGGCCCGCACAAGCGGUGGAGCAUGUGGUUUAAUUCGAUGCAACGCGAAGAACCUUACCUGGUCUUGACAUCCACAGAACUUAGCAGAGAUGCUUUGGUGCCUUCGGGAACUGUGAGACAGGUGCUGCAUGGCUGUCGUCAGCUCGUGUUGUGAAAUGUUGGGUUAAGUCCCGCAACGAGCGCAACCCUUAUCCUUUGUUGCCAGCGGUCCGGCCGGGAACUCAAAGGAGACUGCCAGUGAUAAACUGGAGGAAGGUGGGGAUGACGUCAAGUCAUCAUGGCCCUUACGACCAGGGCUACACACGUGCUACAAUGGCAUAUACAAAGAGAAGCGACCUCGCGAGAGCAAGCGGACCUCAUAAAGUAUGUCGUAGUCCGGAUUGGAGUCUGCAACUCGACUCCAUGAAGUCGGAAUCGCUAGUAAUCGUAGAUCAGAAUGCUACGGUGAAUACGUUCCCGGGCCUUGUACACACCGCCCGUCACACCAUGGGAGUGGGUUGCAAAAGAAGUAGGUAGCUUAACCUUCGGGAGGGCGCUUACCACUUUGUGAUUCAUGACUGGGGUGAAGUCGUAACAAGGUAACCGUAGGGGAACCUGCGGUUGGAUCACCUCCUUACCUUAAAGAA
rnacentral:rRNA from 1 species